GACGCAGGAGGCGAGCGUUGUCCGGAUUCAUUGGGCGUAAAGAGCGCGCAGGCGGCUUGGUAAGUCGGAUGUGAAAACCCGAGGCUCAACCUCGGGCGUGCAUCCGAAACUGCUCGGCUAGAGGUAGGUAGGGGAGAUCGGAAUUCCUGGUGUAGCGGUGAAAUGCGCAGAUAUCAGGAGGAACACCGGUGGCGAAGGCGGAUCUCUGGGCCUUACCUGACGCUCAGGCGCGAAAGCUAGGGGAGCGAACUGG
rnacentral:rRNA from 1 species